rnacentral:rRNA from 1 species
UACGGAGGAUCCAAGCGUUAUCCGGAUUUAUUGGGUUUAAAGGGUGCGUAGGCGGCUUAUUAAGUCAGGGGUGAAAGACGGUGGCUCAACCAUCGCAGUGCCUUUGAUACUGAUGAGCUUGAAUGAACUAGAGGUAGGCGGAAUGUGACAAGUAGCGGUGAAAUGCAUAGAUAUGUCACAGAACACCGAUUGCGAAGGCAGCUUACUAUGGUUUUACUGACGCUGAGGCACGAAAGCGUGGGGAUCAAACAGG